AACGAACGCUGGCGGCGUGCUUAACACAUGCAAGUCGAACGGAAAGGCCCUUCGGGGUACUCGAGUGGCGAACGGGUGAGUAACACGUGGGUGAUCUGCCCUGCACUUUGGGAUAAGCCUGGGAAACUGGGUCUAAUACCGGAUAGGACCACGCGCUUCAUGGUGUGUGGUGGAAAGCUUUUGCGGUGUGGGAUGGGCCCGCGGCCUAUCAGCUUGUUGGUGGGGUAAUGGCCUACCAAGGCGACGACGGGUAGCCGGCCUGAGAGGGUGACCGGCCACACUGGGACUGAGAUACGGCCCAGACUCCUACGGGAGGCAGCAGUGGGGAAUAUUGCACAAUGGGCGCAAGCCUGAUGCAGCGACGCCGCGUGAGGGAUGACGGCCUUCGGGUUGUAAACCUCUUUCGCCAGGGACGAAGCGCAAGUGACGGUACCUGGAGAAGAAGGACCGGCCAACUACGUGCCAGCAGCCGCGGUAAGAC
rnacentral:rRNA from 1 species